AGCCCGCGUUGGAUUAGCUAGUUGGUGGGGUAAAGGCCUACCAAGGCGACGAUCCAUAGCUGGUCUGAGAGGAUGAUCAGCCACAUUGGGACUGAGACACGGCCCAAACUCCUACGGGAGGCAGCAGUGGGGAAUAUUGGACAAUGGGCGCAAGCCUGAUCCAGCCAUGCCGCGUGAGUGAUGAAGGCCCUAGGGUUGUAAAGCUCUUUCACCGGAGAAGAUAAUGACGGUAUCCGGAGAAGAAGCCCCGGCUAACUUCGUGCCAGCAGCCGCGGUAAUACGAAGGGGGCUAGCGUUGUUCGGAAUUACUGGGCGUAAAGCGCACGUAGGCGGAUCGAUCAGUCAGGGGUGAAAUCCCAGGGCUCAACCCUGGAACUGCCUUUGAUACUGUCGAUCUGGAGUAUGGAAGAGGUGAGUGGAAUUCCGAGUGUAGAGGUGAAAUUCGUAGAUAUUCGGAGGAACACCAGUGGCGAAGGCGGCUCACUGGUCCAUUACUGACGCUGAGGUGCGAAAGCGUGGGGAGCAA
rnacentral:rRNA from 1 species